AUUGAACGCUGGCGGAAUGCUUUACACAUGCAAGUCGAACGGCAGCACGGACUUCGGUCUGGUGGCGAGUGGCGAACGGGUGAGUAAUACAUCAGAACGUGCCCAGUCGUGGGGAUGACGUAGCGAAAGCUACGCUAAUACCGCAUACGAUCUAAGGAUGAAAGCGGGGGAUCGCAAGACCUCGCGCGAUUGGAGCGGCCGAUGGCAGAUUAGGUAGUUGGUGGGGUAAAGGCUCACCAAGCCGACGAUCUGUAGCUGGUCUGAGAGGACGACCAGCCACACUGGGACUGAGACACGGCCCAGACUCCUACGGGAGGCAGCAGUGGGGAAUUUUGGACAAUGGGCGCAAGCCUGAUCCAGCCAUUCCGCGUGCAGGAUGAAGGCCCUCGGGUUGUAGACUGCUUUUGUACGGAACGAAAAGGCUCUGGUUAAUACCCGGGGCUCAUGACGGUACCGUAAGAAUAAGCACCGGCUAACUACGUGCCAGCAGCCGCCGCGG
rnacentral:rRNA from 1 species